UUCGCGCGCCUAUCUAGCUUGUUGGUGGGGUAACGGCCUACCAAGGCGAUUACGGGUAGCCGGGCCUGAGAAGGGCGACCGGCCACACUGGGACUGAGACACGGCCCAGACUCCUGCGGGAGGCAGCAGUGGGGAAUAUUGCGCAAUGGGCGAAAGCCUGACGCAGCGACGCCGCGUGGGGGAUGACGGCCUUCGGGUUGUAAACCUCUUUUACCACCAACGCAGGCUCCGGGUUCUCUCGGGAGUUGACGGUAGGUGGGGAAGUAAGGACCGGCUAACUACGUGCCAGCAGCCGCGGUAAUUGACCGUAGGGUCCGAGCGUUGUCCGGAAUUAUUGGGCGUAAAGAGCUCGUAGGCGGCGUGGUCGCGUCUGCUGUGAAAGACGCGGGGCUUAACGUCCGGUUCGUGCAGUGGAUACGGGCAUGACUAGAGUGUAGGUAGGGGAGACUGGAAUUCCUGGUGUAGCGGUGAAAUGCGCAGAUAUCAGGAGGAACACCGGUGGCGAAGGCGGGUCUCUGGGCCUGUACCUGACGCUGAGGAGCGAAAGCAUGGGGAGCGAACAGGAUUAGAUACCCUGGUAGUCCCAUGCCGUAAACGUUGGGCGCUAGGUGUGGGGGACUUUCCACGGUUCUCCCGCUGCCGUAGCUAGACGCAAUUAAUAAGCGCCCGCGCGGGGGGGGGAGAUACGGGAUAA
rnacentral:rRNA from 1 species